UUUAAUUCGCCAUUUUUGGCCAAUUUUAUAAAUUCAAAUCUUGAAUGCAAUCUUGUUUAGCACUUAAGUUUCUUUGAGGUGGACCAGCGGCACAAUAAUCCUAAUCAACUGGUUAAAGUUGUCUGAGUAAAUUGAGGUCCCAAACUAGUAGGCCCUCUACUUCAUGUAAAAAGCAAACGUCAAAUUACUAAUUCGCCCCUACCAUACAGCCAAGCUUCAGCUAUACGUUGCUGAUGAAUCCAGGGUUAAUUCAGUAAAUUCACAGGAAGAGUGGCUGGCAAUGAAAGCAAACUUUAUAUUGUACAAGCUUCCCUCCAUUCUUUAAGCAAUAAACUUUUGCUUUGGUGAUAAUCAUAUUCAUCACACUUGUCCUCCACCACCCUCAGCUGACCAACUUAAAUAUAACCCUCCCUUCUUCCUCACAACUCCAGACAAACUUGCAGAUUUCAACACACACACACAGUUCAAACCCACCACAAAACUUAACUCUCGGUAAGUAUUCACAAUCUCACUUUCUGCAUCGUUAAGUUUCACCGCUUAUGUUUUUUCUUGGUUCAGUCUGCAUUUUACCUUCAUAUCUGCUUCAAGAUUUCAAGAAACAUCUGCGAAAAACAAUGUCGUAAAGUAGGCAACAAGAGAAACAUGUCUGCACACUCAAAAUAAGUAUGGAUUACACUAUAGGAAUCAAAAAGUUUCCCAAUGCCAUGGAAACUUAUUACAUACUAGUACUCUGCACACUUAACACAGCAAAAGAUGUUUCGAGCUGAUCAACUUUUGCUCUCUUUCUUUUUUUUUUUUUUUUUCUUGCCAUAUCUAUACCUAUUUCUAAUCUCUCUAAAGGGCAAUCUCCGUUGCCACUGUAUAGCUACACUUAAUAACUAAAGAGUUUUUAGUGUUGAAUCUGUCUGUACAGUAGGCUUAUCUAGCCAAAAAAGAACUUUUUUGGAACAAUGGAUGGCCGUAUCCACGUUCCAUGAAACAAACGAAAAAAUUGGCACACCACGAGAAAAAACACACAAGAAGCAAGGUGAGUAUUAGGAAUUAAAACUCGAGGAUGCAGAUCACAGCGGUUGAUCUUCAGAAGAAAGUGUAGGAUGCUCCGUAGCAUCCUAGAUUCCAAAGGAGAUCAGAUCCUCCCAGGCCCACUCGGAAAAACUAAGGUCGAGAUAGCUGCAAUCCAAGGAUAAAGAACUCCAAAAAGAAUCAAAAAUACUCUACACUUUACGGAAAACCUUCCAACGGUCGGCUGGUGAUUUGGUCAUAGACAAUGGAGAAGGGACCUCUUGCAGGGUGGAGGUUGGGAAGCAUUAGUGACAUGACUAGGAGAGGUAGACUCCAUUCCUAGUGUCUUCAUUAGGAAGUGCUUUUCCUGCAUAAUCAAAUGGUAAAAUGGUUAGUCUAAAAACACUUCCCACCAAAAAACAAUAGGACUCUUUUAGGCCUUUUACAUUCUCUAAAUCUGAAAGAAAAUGAACUAAAACACUUCAAGGCAUGAGUGUCAUCCUCUUGUACUCUAGUAUAGUGGGAAAAACAAAACUAUCGAGGCUGUUUUGAGAAACAAACUGAUAACUUGAAUGAUGUAGAAAAUAUAAUUAGUUUCCAGUUUUAUGAUUAUCAGCUACAGUAGUGUAACCUGUGUGAGGGCGGAGAAAGAUACACCAAAGGGCAAAGAUGUUGUGAGGGAAAAUUAGUGUAUCCAUGUGGCGGUUCAUAACCAGAUUCAAAAUAUUAAACAUCAGAAUCUGAAAUAUUAAUUUUUACAGAUUUGUGAACUGUGUAUCAGUUUAUCCCAUAAUCUAUGCUGUAUACAUGAUAUUUUGAAUGCUUGUUCAAGUACAAAGACUGAAUUGUUUGUCAAUCGUCAUAAAUAGCAAGUUGGUUACCAAUGACACUACCAAUUCAAGUGAAAGACUAAAUUAUUCUGCAUGGAGCAUCAAAUUUUUUACUUCUUAUAAAUAGAAGUGAAUUGAAAUGCUUAGGAUUCUUACACUUUCUGAAAAUUUUGGACUGGGAAUGGUCGCUGCCAAUGCUCCAAACAAGGGAGUCACGUGAAGAGGAGAACCAAACUCUGUGCUAGAAUACUCGCAUAUUACUUCAUCAUUAUCGGUUGUGUUGUUACAAGUUAACAUGUUCACUGCAGUAAUAGAUUUGUUAUGAGCGUCAGAAAAAAAUAUAUAUUCUACCAUCAUCUUAAGAUGGGAUGGUAGCCAAUGAAUCUUGGUGUUAAUUAUGAUACAUUUACUUGUCUGUGUGUAUGUGUGUGUAUAAUAUACCUUCAGUUGUGCUUGCAGUAUGGCAUUUUCGACUUCCUUCAUCAUCGCAAUGCUGAUGAUCUAAUUGAUCUGGCUGCAUUUGAUGUCCAUUUUCCUGAUGCAGCAAGCAGGUUUCAGCUCGACUUUCUUCCGUUUUAUCACCUGGCAUGCUUGGCAGCAGAGUUGAUCCUGCACUGUACUCAGAGCUGGCUGUGGACGACUCAUAUAAAUCAGGUUCCCUGAAAAGGUAUAAGUUACAAAAUGUGGAGGUGUAUAAUAAUCUCAAUUCAAACCAGACUGCCUUGAAAGUUACCUCCAAGAUGGUCCACUGCCUUCAUCGUCAUUCGUCAAAUCGUCCACCAAGUCUUUGAACUUCUCAAAUUGAAAAUCAACAUCAGGAUUUGUGAAUGUGAACAGAUCACUUUCUUUGUUUUGUUUCAGAAAGUCUUGAAGAGCCUGGACCACAUUUACCUAACAAACUUAGUCUUACAGAAAGAAAAAAAAAUUGCAGUCGUUGUAAUGAAAAUGUUAAGGGUAGGAUAAACCGAAGAAAUGAGGUUUGAGUCGCAUAGCAAAAAUGUUUUAGGGUAAACUAAAGAAAGGAUGAUAUUGCUGGGGACCAUAACUUCUUAUACCCAUUUGCUUUUCACCUGAGGAGGAUAUUAUUUUCGCCAUCAUGAUGAAAUUUGGAUGUCUUUUUAAAAUCAUUUUGAGAAUCACUGCUGCUUCAAUCAUUGAUUGGGGGAAUGAGGUAGGAUGGACCAUUGUAUGAAUCGUUUUGAUAGGGUAUGAUCUAAUGCAACAAGUCUCGAGUGAUCAAACUCCUCGUACUUACCGUCCAAGCACUUUCAAGACUCUGAUCUGUCUUCUCCGUGUUGACUUUGAUUGCAAGAGAACUGAGCAGUUCUGCUUGUUGCAUUAGUGCAAGUACCUUCGGAUCAUCCUUCUUAAGAAAUGUACCUUGAUUUUUGUUAGUUCCAGCUGCGAAAAAAAGAAAACAACAUUUAUUAUCCUUCUGUUUGAACUUACAGCAGAACAAACAAUGAUGUUGAUUCAAGUGAUUAGACUUUUUCUUUUUUAUAUAUCAAUUUCUUCCGUAUAAGACUUUUUGGUAUUCUUAACCAGUCUAACAGACUUUUUGAUCUCUCGAACUCGUGUAAAUCAAUUGGUACAUCCUUGAUGUGGCUGAAUGCAGCUGAGAAGGGAAGUUAAACUCAC
rnacentral:lncRNA from 1 species